rnacentral:lncRNA from 1 species
AUGGGUUUCCGGUUGCCUAGUAUUGUACAUGCUAAGAAAAACCAAACACCUUCAAAGUCCUUAGAUGUCCCUAAAGGCUAUUUUGCAGUCUAUGUUGGGGAGAGCAAGAAGAAGAGGUUUGUGAUCCCAGUAUCAUACUUGAACCAGUCCUCUUUUCAAGAUUUGUUAAGUCUAGCAGAAGAAGAAUUUGGGUAUGAUCAUCCAAUGGGAGGUAUUACAAUCCCAUGCAGUGAAGAUGCCUUCCUUGAUCGCACCUCCAGCUUCAGUGUAUGA